ACAAUGAAGAGUUUGAUCCUGGCUCAGGAUGAACGCUAGCUACAGGCUUAACACAUGCAAGUCGAGGGGCAGCAUUUCAGUUUGCUUGCAAACUGGAGAUGGCGACCGGCGCACGGGUGAGUAACACGUAUCCAACCUGCCGAUAACUCGGGGAUAGCCUUUCGAAAGAAAGAUUAAUACCCGAUGGUAUAAUCAGACCGCAUGGUCUUGUUAUUAAAGAAUUUCGGUUAUCGAUGGGGAUGCGUUCCAUUAGGCAGUUGGUGAGGUAACGGCUCACCAAACCUUCGAUGGAUAGGGGUUCUGAGAGGAAGGUCCCCCACAUUGGAACUGAGACACGGUCCAAACUCCUACGGGAGGCAGCAGUGAGGAAUAUUGGUCAAUGGGCGCAGGCCUGAACCAGCCAAGUAGCGUGAAGGAUGACUGCCCUAUGGGUUGUAAACUUCUUUUAUAUGGGAAUAAAGUUUUCCACGUGUGGAAUUUUGUAUGUACCAUAUGAAUAAGGAUCGGCUAACUCCGUGCCAGCAGCCGCGGUAAUACGGAGGAUCCGAGCGUUAUCCGGAUUUAUUGGGUUUAAAGGGAGCGUAGGUGGACAGUUAAGUCAGUUGUGAAAGUUUGCGGCUCAACCGUAAAAUUGCAGUUGAUACUGGCUGUCUUGAGUACAGUAGAGGUGGGCGGAAUUCGUGGUGUAGCGGUGAAAUGCUUAGAUAUCACGAAGAACUCCGAUUGCGAAGGCAGCUCACUGGACUGCAACUGACACUGAUGCUCGAAAGUGUGGGUAUCAAACAGGAUUAGAUACCCUGGUAGUCCACACAGUAAACGAUGAAUACUCGCUGUUUGCGAUAUACAGUAAGCGGCCAAGCGAAAGCAUUAAGUAUUCCACCUGGGGAGUACGCCGGCAACGGUGAAACUCAAAGGAAUUGACGGGGGCCCGCACAAGCGGAGGAACAUGUGGUUUAAUUCGAUGAUACGCGAGGAACCUUACCCGGGCUUAAAUUGCAUUUGAAUAUACUGGAAACAGUAUAGCCGUAAGGCAAAUGUGAAGGUGCUGCAUGGUUGUCGUCAGCUCGUGCCGUGAGGUGUCGGCUUAAGUGCCAUAACGAGCGCAACCCUUAUCUUUAGUUACUAACAGGUCAUGCUGAGGACUCUAGAGAGACUGCCGUCGUAAGAUGUGAGGAAGGUGGGGAUGACGUCAAAUCAGCACGGCCCUUACGUCCGGGGCUACACACGUGUUACAAUGGGGGGUACAGAAGGCAGCUACCUGGUGACAGGAUGCUAAUCCCAAAAGCCUCUCUCAGUUCGGAUCGAAGUCUGCAACCCGACUUCGUGAAGCUGGAUUCGCUAGUAAUCGCGCAUCAGCCAUGGCGCGGUGAAUACGUUCCCGGGCCUUGUACACACCGCCCGUCAAGCCAUGAAAGCCGGGGGUACCUGAAGUACGUAACCGCAAGGAGCGUCCUAGGGUAAAACUGGUAAUUGGGGCUAAGUCGUAACAAGGUAGCCGUACCGGAAGGUGCGGCUGGAACACCUCCUUU
rnacentral:rRNA from 1 species